GAGAGUCGGUACAUAUGAGGAAGGCUGAGCCCGCCUCGAGAGCGUGCCAAAUCGCAUACAGCUCUGCCGUGUAUACCCUGCAAUGAGGGGGCAACGGCCAGGAGGUGCCACUCCCUCGCUAUACACAGCACACGCCACACCAUCGCCGGUCUUGUACCCGUCUGUAAAGAUUUUGACUAUUAUUUUCGUAUUGUUUGUAUCUAUAGAGCUUUUCUUUGGAUAGUACAUGUAAUUAAAGGCCUAGGGCCAUCUUUUGUAACAUCAGGCGAAAUGAAGGUCUUUAUGCUUGCUUGAUCACCUGAAUUAUAUAAGGUGUUAUUCAAUUAUUGUUUGUAUAGAACUCUCAGGUUGUACGUACAUUUGUACAUUUACGACAGUUGAAUUCCACCUUGAUCUUUUAAACUUACAUUUGCAUAUCAUACUCCGCAUAAUAUACAGAUUGUUUUUCCAGGAUUUUGGUUCAAUGAUUUGAGCCUACAGUGCUAAUUUUUGUAUUGUACGUGCUGCCGACGGUUUCAUGCCCAUCAACUGGCCUCGGUUUUUGCUUAAUAAUUUCUUAAUCGAUAAUUUAUUUAUUAUGAUUUGUCUUUUGUACAUUUCUUGAAAUUGUGCAAUUUCGAUAUGUGCAACACAUGCUAGGACUUUAUUUUCUUACAAGAGGAGAAUUUAAGCUUCUUGAUCGAUUAGAAUUUACGUGAAGGGUAUUUAUCAUUUUUUGUUCAAAGAACUUCAGAUGGUCCGUUCAUUUAUACAUUUUCAGGGUGUUGAUAUAAAUUGAACGUUUUUUCGUUAUACGUAUAUUUGAAUGCAUGCCAGACUCCAUGUUCUUUAUCAGUUUAUGUCUAUUGGAUUUUUAUCCACUUCUGCUAUAGAACUAUUUUUGGAUUGUAGUGCAUUUCAAAAUAUGCGAGGUUAAUCCCUUUCAACUAGCUUGAUAAGAUUUUGCUUAAAUAUUUGGUUCAUGUUUGAUAUGUCAUGUCUAUUAUUUAUUAUUGCUUGUCACUAUAGAACAUUUCAUUGUUGUACGUGCAAUGAAAGGUAUAGUCAGUAUAAUACUUCAGAUUGUAUAUUUUCAGGGUCUUAUUAACAUCAGUUCAACUUAGACCUGGUUUUUUUUCUCAAUUAGGUCUGAUUGAAAAGUACUUUUUGUAAUGCUGGGCUUUUUUAGAUUGUAAGUACAUUUGUUUAUGAUAGACUCCUUGUUUUAUAUAGUUUAUGCUUCUUAGAUUUUUAUAUGCGAGUCUUUAUGAAAAUCUUAUUUGUACUGUACUACCUUUAGAUUGUAUUGGCUUUUGCAUAUAAUGCAAGUGGUACAUUUUGGUAAAAUUUAGGCUCUCAGGGUUUUAAUUUUUUUCUGUUUUUUACUCUCGAUUUUGGGUUUGAUUUAAUUUCACCUUGGUCUUUCUUGAUUAUCCGACUUGUGAUGUCUCUCAUAAUGAUUUAUCGAUCUUACCAAGGACAAAUAACGUUAACUUUCUAAUUGUUCAGUGGUUAUUUUGUUUUUAGUUCCCUGGGUGGCCAGAAUCAAAAUUAGGUCUUGUAAUGUAACCGAAUGGUUUCUUUUGCUCCUUGCACUUACUUAGGUCCUUAUUUUGAAGGAUUUUUCGUUUUGAUCAAACUACAACCUUACAAUUUUGUUUCUGUUGGUUUUCUUUCACGUUUUGUCAAGGCUGGUCAUUACAACAGUCCAAAUCGUGCAUAAGCCAUGUUUGCAAGAGGAUUAUGAUUAAUUUUUAAAGUUGGACGGCCAUUAUGAGGAUGCGCAGCUCUGAACGUUUUAAUUUUCUAAAAAAGGGUUGAUUCUUGUUUUAAAAAGAAAAAUAUUUAGACUAUUUGAUUUUAUUAAAAAACUGCCAAAUCUUAGUCAAUUUGUAUUAAAAAAAAUUCAAACAAAAAUGUUUAUUAUGUAGGAAUUUACCAUUUAUUCAUCUCUUUUUUGGAACAAAAUGUGUCAAAAUAGUAUGGGCCAGUUUAAUAAAUAAAAUGACAAUCGCUGUGAUAGGAUUCGUAUAUAUAAUAAUAAAAUUACUUUAAUAUUCAACUUUAAAACUCACAAUAUCACGUCUUAUCACGAUUUCUUUCUUCAGAUCUUAUAGAUAUAGUUAAACAUUUUCGGGGUAUUUUCAAACAGUAUAAACAAAAUUGUCAAAUUGAACGACAAAAUUGCUGUGAUAAUUUCAUGUGUUGAUAUGUUUGCGCUUUAACCUAUUUUAAUCCUGUAUGUUUACCAUUGUUUGUUGAAGUUUGCAUUGUCUUGUUGCACGUUCGAACCGUCACCGGAUCGAAUAGUUCACGCUGUGGACUAAGUUACCAUAUAAUGUACAAGUUGGUUAGAUAUGAGUUUAAAAGAACAAAGAUAAACUAUGUUAUUAGAUGUGUUACUAUAUAGUUACAAAAAUUAAUAAAUGUGUUUGUUUAGC